GCCUGCUUGGCCAAGUGGUAAGGCGUCGCACUUGUACAUGUGGCAUGCGAAGAGCACUCGUUCGAUUCGGGUAGUAGGCA